GUUGGUUCAACUUGAUAUCGAGCUUCCGAUCAGCAUCCGAUGCGACACCUGCAGGAAUCGCAUUUGCGAGGGAAGCAACCUCAAAUCCUGGAGGGAGCCAGUCGUCGGCGAGUCGUGCGGGGGGAUCAGGAUAUUUAGGUUUUACUUCGAUUGCAGCAAGUGCUCUGCUAAGAUCUCGCUCAAAGACUACCCGAAUGUUCCCCAUUUGGUGGUGGAGUCGGGGGCGACGAGGAUAAGGGAGGAGGAGGUUCAAGAGAUUGGCGAUCCCAUCCAGAUUGAUGA